rnacentral:lncRNA from 1 species
CAUACGGUAGGAAUUUAUUAACAAGCAAACAACUCUGUUCAUAUCAGGAAGACCAGUUGGUUAGGUUAUAAAUGACUCGAGAGCAGGUGCAAGAACUUACAAUUUUCAAGCAUUCUAUUAGAAUGUUUACUGCCAAGUAGAUCCACAAGAGGUGUUCCUAAAUUCUGGUAAUCAUUUUAUGUGGCACUCCCUGAGAAAAGGCCGUGACCUACACAGGUGGGAGUACACAUAGGAGUCUCCCUACAAGAGGAAGUUGGGGAACUCAGGAAGUAGUGAUGUUUUCGGAUAGGGUUCCUCAGAAAACUUGAGACUGUGUGUUCUCUUCCUCAUUCCUUAGGAACCCCAUUUGGCCAACUGAUUACAGAGAAUCAGAUCCUGAUUCACAAUUCAAAGAAAUUGUCAUUGGACAUGCACUGACGUAGUUUCUCAGGCACUGCUUUGGUGUUAAGCAUACAGAAAACAAUUUUAACCAUCAGAAAGAAAUCUAAAAUCUAUAGAAGCAAGUUUUCAGCCUAGACAGCUUUCCAGACAAUUAACGAUCUACCAUAGAGAAUUCUCUAUAAUCACCUUCCAAAUUCCCACUCUAAAAGAAACUUGAAUAUUCCAUGGCCAAAAGCAGGCAGCUUGAAAAGUAAAUACCAAACUUU